rnacentral:rRNA from 1 species
UACGGGGGGGGUAAGCGUUGUUCGGAAUUACUGGGCGUAAAGGGCUCGUAGGCGGCCAACUAAGUCAGACGUGAAAUCCCUCAGCUUAACUGGGGAACUGCGUCUGAUACUGGAUGGCUUGGAUUUGGGAGAGGGAUGCGGAAUUCCAGGUGUAGCGGUGAAAUGCGUAGAUAUCUGGAGGAAUACCGGUGGCGAAGGCGGCAUCCUGGACCGGCAUUGACGCUGAGUGAGCGAAAGCCAGGGGAGCAAACGGG